GAUGAACGCUGGCGGCGUGCCUAAUACAUGCAAGUCGAGCGAACAGACGAGGAGCUUGCUCCUCUGACGUUAGCGGCGGACGGGUGAGUAACACGUGGAUAACCUACCUAUAAGACUGGGAUAACUUCGGGAAACCGGAGCUAAUACCGGAUAAUAUAUUGAACCGCAUGGUUCAAUAGUGAAAGACGGUUUUGCUGUCACUUAUAGAUCGAUCCGCGCCGCAUUAGCUGGUUGGUAAGGUAACAGCUUACCAAGGGAACGAUGCGUAGCCGACCUGAGAGGGUGGUCGGCCACACGGGAACUGAGACACGGUCCAGACUCCUACGGGAGGCAGCAGUAGGGAAUCUUCCGCAAUGGGCGAAAACCUGACGGAGCAACGCCGCGUGAGUGAUGAAGGUCUUAGGAUCGUAAAACGCUGUUAUUAGUGGAGAACAAAUGUGUAAGUAACGAUGCACGUCUUGACGGUACCUAAUCAGGAAGCCACGGCUAACUACGUG
rnacentral:rRNA from 1 species